rnacentral:rRNA from 1 species
CAAUAGCGUAUAUUAAAGUUGUUGCGGUUAAAAAGCUCGUAGUUGGAUUUCUGCCGAGGACGACCGGUCCGCCCUCUGGGUGUGUAUCUGGUUUGGCCUGGGCAUCUUCUUGGAGAACGUAGCUGCACUUGACUGUGUGGUGCGGUGUCCAGGACUUUUACUUUGAGGAAAUUAGAGUGUUUCAAGCAGGCACACGCCUUGAAUACAUUAGCAUGGAAUAAUAAGAUAGGACCUCGGUUCUAUUUUGUUGGUUUCUAGAGCUGAGGUAAUGAUUAAUAGGGAUAGUUGGGGGCAUUCGUAUUUAACCGUCAGAGGUGAAAUUCUUGGAUUUGUUAAAGACGGACUACUGCGAAAGCAUUUGCCAAGGAUGUUUUCAUUGA